UUGAUUCUAAGUGACUUGUUGCCAUAUUGGUUUUGGUGAGAAAACCUCAAGAAAUGGAGCAUGUGCUACUUCUCUGGAAAACAGCAGCUCUGUGCCUCUGCAUUUGCAAACACAUUGCUCUUCCCCAAUUGAAUCAACCAAAUCAGCUGAAAUCAGUGUAGUCAUCCUUCUUGUUUAGUCUGAUUAAAAGCUGUCUGGUAUUUAGUAUUGCCUCCAUGUGAAGACAUUUAUACAAGUCAGUCUCUUUUUGCCACACUAGUGAGCUUUUUUAGUCUGUUGCUGAACCAGCUUCUUUACUUCUCAAUCUUACUUUUCAGUUGUCAGUCAGUUUGAGUGAUUUUCAACACCCUUUUAAUAAAUUAAAUAGCCGAACUUCAUCCACUGUCUUCAAACUGGAUUUCCCCUUGUCUGAAACUGUGAAUACAGUGCACUCCUUUUGACUCCCCUUCCCUGUUUUUUGGAUAUAGCCUGCAGAGAAAUUUCAUAGAUUUUGUGCUUCUGGUUGUCCAUGGAAAACAUAUUUUGACUGAAUGGGCACAGCGUAUGAAAGGGAUGGUCCUUCAGUCUUGGAUGCUGAAAUCAUUGGACAGCAAUGUCCUUCCUGCCAAGGGAGUAUGAAAGGCCCUCAGAGCUUGAAAAAGAAAAUGAAUACUGUCCCCAUGCGUGAAUAUAUUUGAAUAAGAGGCCAAACUCCAGGUAACCUGACAGAUAGACAACAAUGUUGGAUGUCUCUGCUCUAGUCCCAAGGUUCAGCAGAAGUCAUAGGAGUCAUUCUUAAAAUUGAGAAGGUCAAGUUCUGGAUCAAAGCUUAUUUAUUUCCUCUUCUCUAACCUUCUAUGGUACAGAAAACUCUUGACAUGUUCCAGAAUCUAGCUUCAGUAAAUGGCUUAAAGCGAUCAGCAGAAGUACAGCAUGGUUCCCUCUCAAUUUACUUGCUAUAGCUGUAGGGAAAAAAAAUCUUAAUAUAGGAAUUUUGAAAUAUGUUAAAGUAUAAUUUAAUACAGGUAAGGUAAUACGGGUAAUAAUAAACUCUCAUUGUUGGCAGUGGAAGUCCUAUUUAAACUUCCUAACAGCCUAUGCUGCUCAUGGUGAUAAAACUAGGCACUCUUGGGCGGUACAGAAACAUUUCCUACUGCUCUGGCAUGAUUUCAAAGUCCAUAUUUUUCUAGCAGAUUAAACACAGGAGGUUGUUUCUAAGCAAUGUCUUAAUUGCCAUUUGAUAGUUAACAAAAAUGCAACUGAAGAGCUGGCAUGAGGUGUCACAUCAGAUUUUAGGUCCUCUAGAUCUGUCUUGUGUGAAAAUCCAGGCAUUCAUAAUUAAUGUGGCCAACCCAAUCAAAGCAACAUAUUUUUUAUAGGUUUUCCAUGCCAGCAAAAAGACCAAUGUGGUUCACUCAUCUGAUCCAUAUAGCUCAUGCCAUAAACAUUUCAAUUAGCAAUUCCCGUGUUCGAAGAAUCAUUAUUAUUUCUAUUGGUAACUGCUUGAAGAUCCUGCAGAAAGCUGGCUAACCUUUCAUGAGAUGCUUGUUGGCUAGCUGAAGAAGGCUGAGUCUGCGCUUGCCCCCUCUGUGCCCUGGAGCAGAAAGAACCAUGCCAGAGGUGUCUCAUUGCUCCACAUAGCUGAAGGUCAUUAACAGAGCAGCCUGUCUGCUCCUUGGGUUUGGCAUUUUGUGCAAGCUUUUAACUGUGGUGGGCUGCUCUGAACGGCCACGUGAGUCUGUCUGGUCUUCCUUGGGAAAGCCUUGACAGCAGUCAGCUCUCUUCAGCCUCAGUGAGAAGAAGCCCAGAGUCGGGGAAUUGACAUGAGAAGUGUGAGGAACGCGGAAGAAAGAGAAAAAUGGAAGUCAAAUGGUGAGAUGUUUAAACUGUACAACAUGUUAAUUGUUACUAUUUAUCACUGUCAAGUGACCAUAGACCUGUUAGAAGUUUAGAAUUGAAAGCCUUAAUGUAUUCUUUAUAGGAACAAAAGCUCCUGAAUUAUGCAACAGCCUAAAAUGUUCCUACCACAGGUGACUCAGCUUCUCUAUGCAUUAUUUAAAGAGUCAUAUGAUAUCAGUCUGCUGCUAUGUAGCUGCAAUUUAUACUGCACUUUUUCAGUGGAUUUUUUUUUACAAAUCCCUACUUCUAACUGCAGUCAUGGAAAACAGUCCUACUAAUGGACUUCUGCAGUGUGCAUUCAUUUUCAUUUAAGUUUGUGGCUGUCUCCAGCAGUAUUUUAAAUAUAUAAGAGAACUGAUGGUGACUUUUCUAAUUCUGGAGAAUGAAAACAGGAAUCUUAUUUGCAUUUCUAAUCUGAGAAAAGACAUUUCAAGAGCAUCUAAUCUCUGUGCUAGGAGAUUGUCUGGAAGAUGUGAAGCAGCAUCAGAACAGGAGGUUAAGACGUUCAAGUGUUCUGUGAGCAGGAAGGAGGAGGUGGAAGCAGCUCAUUGCAAGUAUUUAAACUAACUGUCAAGACAGAGACCUACACCCUGACCCAGGUUGGGGGUUUAGUUUUAAUAUGAUGCAGACGAAGAAAAAUAGUUUGAGUUAUGAAUUCUCUUCAGGCUUCAAUCAGAAAACCACUGAACAGAAACCACACAUCUUAUAUCACUUCAACAUCUCCUCCACCUCUGAAAGACGCAUAUUACUUUGGUUACUAUUCUCAUAGUGUUACUUAAAUAUAGUGUCCUGAAUAUUUAAUAAUAUGAAGGGAUUCCAUCUCAGGUGAUUUUCCGUUAUUCAUGCGUUGCUAAAAGAUUUUCCUCAGAUUACCACUAUAAAAACUCUAUUAUGUAUUUGAAAAUGCAGUGGACAAAACUGAGUUUUCAAAUAGAAUUGGCUUUCCAGGCUUAAAUCUGAAAAGCAUUACUCAUGCUCAUGACAUGAAUGAGAUGCACAACAUUUCUUUUAAAAGAGGAUUUAAAUCCAAUAAUCUCCUUGGGAAAUAUUAUAGUUGCAAAUCAGAGAUGAUGAGAGAACCAUUUUAUGAUCAUACCUCUUAUUGUGUGAGGAUAAACAGGAAUUUCCAAAAUGAAGAGCCAAGUGGUGGUGGUAGGAGGGGGGAUGUGGGGAGGAAGAGAUGGGGAUGGCAGUAAAAUCUCUCCUGCCUGAACCUUUUUGUAAUACUGAUGUUAAUUUCCCUUCUCUCCCAAAUCUCAUUUUUAAAGUGACUUUUCAAUUCUCUUGAUAAUGGGGAAGAAAAAAUGAUGAUUAUUUCUAUAGUGAUUGAAAAGGCUGCCACCUCCUGACUACUGGGAAGAACUGAUGUCAGGAGUCAGAAUUGAAAAUUGAGUCAGAAUAGAAAAUUUGUUAAUUUUUCAUCUGCUUAACUACAUGCAACAGUACUUCUUAAUGAUAUUUAGUAUCAGGACCAAUUCUUAAAAUUACGCUAAGUUACUCUGUACGUUAACUCUGUGCAGGACUCUGAAAGCCGCUCUGUUUUGGCAUUUCUAAAUCUGAAAUACAAGGCUUAACAAGUACUAAAUAUGCUCCUGUUCCCUCAGGUUGAACACAACCUAUCAAUUUUAGUAAUAAAAUCUGGAAAAUGAAUGGCCUUAGAGUGCUGGGAAGCUACUUAAUGCUCCUACCUUCUCAAAUGUUUGCUGAGAUCAGGAUAAGUAAAAUGCAUUUUGCCUUUUAUGACAAAUUAAAAAUAACGUCAAUUAUAACAGUAAAACUGGAAGAAAAAAUGCAGGUGCAUGUGCUGUUAGCCAUAUAAAAGCACUGCAAGGGUGAUUGCUCACUGAAAUGAAUACAAAUAUACCACAAAAUGUUACUGCAUUCCCCAAUGUUGAAGCAGUGCCUGGAAGCCUCAUUCAUGGAACAAGAGCCUAUACCAAAAAAAGAGGAAAAAUGAAGAGAUCCCAAUAUCAGAGGGAUAACUGUAGGCCUCAAGGCCUGAGACGUACUUGAGCUAAAUUGUAUGUUCUUGUAUAAAGUUGCAUGGUUUUGUUAGAGAACAUGUUAGGACUCAUGCUGUUACAUUUUCAUCAUCCCUUUGGAUUCAUUCUUAAAAGAUGACUGUUGCCAAAGACACAAAUCUCAGUCUCUUCAGCUGGUGGAAAAUUUGGCAUGUUUCUCACACUUGCCAGACAUGAACGGGGAAUUGCACACAGCUGAUACAAACAGAUUCAGGAGACUCCUAAAACAGCUUGAUAACUUCUUGCUACAGGUACUAAAGUAAGGGAGCCAGCUAGGAAAGUGCCCUCCUAGAUCUGUUGCUUUUGAGCAUAGGGG